UUUUUUUUUUUUUUUUUUUUUUGAGAGAGAGAGAUCAUCCCUGCUCCACUCAUCUAUUCUUCCUAAAUCCUGCCUCCAAUUUGCCUUAAACCAAAAUGAGAGUGCCUGCAGGUCAAACAGCCCAUCCCCAACUAAUGGAUCUAGAAAACAUCAUCAGUACACAAACUACCUGAAGUGAUUCCAAAUGGAAAGAAAAUAGAGAAAAUCCUUUCUCCAACUCAUAAUCACAUAAACAAAUUUAAUAUAGAAAUGGAAAAUAUCCAUUCUAAGGGGUCAGGUAGAUUCGACUUCUUUCCUAUCCCUCCUCCAUCCUUCCCAACAGUGUCUGCAAUCUCUCGGACCCUCCUGCUCCCAGCAAGCCCAUUGGCUAGGUGAGAGAGGUAAGCAGGCCGGUGCCUCUGAGUGGCAAGAGACAGUGACCAAACAUGCCUGUCCUUUGUCACUAACCACCUUUCUUGUUUCCCCUUCUGCUGAGCCAUCUGCAAGAAAAUGUCAACAUGUGCUGCAGGGAGAAAAUGUAUUUGCUAAUUUAUGUGCUGGGUAAAUUCACUUAUUCAGUAGAAUAAUAAAAAUGUGACUGCUCACCACCCUUUCCUUCGAGAGUAAAGACAUCUUUAUUAAUGAUUUUAAAACCUGAAGAAACGGCAAUGCCUGCUCUGUUUACAUUUCCCUAUAUUAAAUGCAAGACAUUCUCUUGCUGGUGGCAAAACAUUGAAAAUACCCUUCUGGUCAUGAUUUAUUGCUGGAGGAAUUUUAUUAAAUUGGGAUGUGACCAUGUGUCUAGCUAUCAAUUACAUCACUGGGAAAAGAAAACAACAGAGAUUUACAUUUUCAGUAAUUCCUGAAAUAAGCACUCUGUGUUCCUGGAGGUGUUAGAAAAUAUUUUCCAAGACUUCAUAUUUUAACCCUCCAAGGUCCAGAGCUUCAAAUUCUGCAUAUUCUGGUGCUAAAGAGAGUCAUAGAUGAUCCUAGUCUUUCUUCCCCUUGCACCAACUGGAGGAUUUUAUAUCCUAUCCCCCAUGUGCUGUAGCUUUGCUGAUCAAAGCCUGUUCUACCACAGACCUCCUUGAUUCUGAAUUUGGCCUGAAUCCACAAAUGAGCAUUCAAUUAGGACCAGAGAAGCAUUCAGAUUUGGGCUAGCACAGUUAUAAGUAAACCAGAAGAAGAGAUACAGGAUGACAUGUUUAAGUCCUAAUUAGAGGAUCUGAGCCAUUUCGGGGGAGGGAGUUAAAUUCCAAGUAGAUACAGAAAAAAGGUACUUCAGGAUUAGCAUGUAAAUAGAGAUUUAUGAAUAAUUUCUGGACUAAGAAAGAAGGUGUCACAGAGAAGGUCCCCAGUAUUUGAGAUUCCUAUGAUAAAAGACAGUUCCUUCCUAUUAGCACACAGAUGGUUCCAAGCUGAAUCAGUGCUACUGAUAACUCCCCAGGCUGGCUUUUAAAAUAGGAUUUUGGAGAGAGUAGGAGAAAUCCAACUUAUGUGUUUACAUGGCUACUAAAGGCUACUAGCAGAAGGAACAGUUGUGAACUCCAUAGAUCCAGGGUGGAAUGACAUGCACCAAAAUUAGAAAGGGCCCCUUCAAUGCAACUGAGGUGGAAGCUGGGUCACCACUGUAAAGAAUAGUGGGUACUAUCUGAAUUCCCAUAAUAGGGUAAAGAGACAAUUCCCUGGUCCAAACAAGCCAUUCAUCAUAUCCUAGAAGCUCUAUCCCAAUAAGCAUGGAGCCAGAAAGCCACAAUUGGGAAAGCUCUAACUGGUCAAGUGCCCAAAUGAAUAAAAAUUAAAGUAAAGGCACUUAUUUUUAUAAUGCAGAGUCUGGAAGCAAGUUCACCUUGUGAAAAGAAAAACUUCUGCUGAACCACAUCCACUUACUUUGUUAAUUUGAAUGAAUGAAAAGCUCAUUAACUAGCACACUUCAGUGUUACCUGGCAACCCUGAUAAAUCACAUACUCUUAAAUACUAUAAAAUCUCAGGUCAUCUUGUUCACUCUUAAAAACCUACGCAGGUAAAAACUAUAAAUCCACAGAUCCAAGAACCUGAAUGAACAUCAAGCACAAGUAACAGGAAGAAAACUGAAGGCAUAUCAUAACCAACUGCACAAAACCAGUGGUAAACAGAAAAUCCCAAAAGUAACCAAAGGAUAAAAAGAUGUCACAUACAGAGGAACAAGAGAAAAGCAAAAGAAUAAAUUUCAUCAGGGAAACAACACAAAAACACAAAGGAGCAACAUCUUUAAAGUACUGAAAGAAAAACUGUCAACCUACAAUUCUAUACUUGGCAAAAAUGUCUUUCAAAAAUGAAGUUGAAAUAAAGAAUUUUUCGGAAAAACAAAAGCUAUACAAAUUCCUCAGCAGCAGACAAGAAGUACAAGAAAUGUUAAAAAUGAUACUUUGGGCAAAAGGAAAGCUACACCAAAUGGAAAUAUGGAUCCACACAAAGAUACAAAGAGCUCUGCAAAUGGUAACUGCAUGCACUGUCAGAAUCCACAUUGUUAUAUAUAUUAAUUGCUUUCCUUACAGUAAUUAUCUUGCUGGAAAUAUGUUUUAACCUUUUAGCUCUUGCCUGUAUAGUAUUGCUUUCUUUGAUACUAUCUUGAGUUAAGUAGAAGUGCAAAGUAAUAGCUUUAUAUAACACUAUUCAAAGAUAACAAAACCCAGGACUCCAGAAAAUCUAUUAUUCUCCUGAAAGAGCUAUAAAACUGGGGGAAAUGAGAUAAUAUAUACAGUGGAGGAAGCAACCCAUAACUCACUGAAAAAAAUCAGAAGGCCAUCAAAAAUAACAUGAGUAAGAAACUGCCAAACAUUUUCCAAAAUCACUGUACCAUUUUACACCAUUGACAGCAAGCCAUCAGAGUUUCAGGUAUUCCACAUCCUUACUAACAUCAGACACUGUCAGUCUUUUAAAUGUUAUCCAGUAUAAUGGAUGUGAAACAGUGUAUUAUUAUGGCUUUAAUUUGCAUUUCCAUGAUGACUAAUGGUUUUGAUCUUUCCAUAUGCUCAUUGCCUAUCUGUAGAUCUCCUUUUAUGAAGUUUUGUUCUGAUCUUUUGGUUAUUUCCUAACUGGGUUGUCUUCUCAUUAUAAAGUUGUAAUAUUUCUUUAUAUAUUCCAUAUUCAAGUCUUUUGUCAUAUAUAUACAUAUGCACAUGCACACACACAUAUGCACACACAUAGAGAUAUAUCUAUUUUCCCAGCCUCUGACUUGUUUUUACAUCUUCCUAAUGAGCUGUUUCAAAAAGUGCAAGUUCUCAGCUGGAAACAAACCAAAUGUCCAUCAACAGGUGAAUGGAUGAACAGAUUAUGUUAUACCCCACAAUGGAAUACUAAUCAGCAAUAAAAAAAUAAUGAAUUACUGAUAUACUCAAUAACAGAAAUCUUAAAAAGAUGAUACUAAGAAGCCAGACAUAAAAGAUUAAUACUAUAUGAUUUCAUGUAUAUGGUGAAACUCAUGUACAGUGACAAGAAAGUAGAUCAGGUCUCCUUGGGCUGGAGAAUUGAUUGCAAAGAUGCCAGAGAAAACUUCCAGCAAUGGAAAUGUUCUAAAUCUUAACUGUGGUGGUAUUUACAUAGGUACAUAUAUUUGUUAAAAGUGAAACUGUACAAUUUAAAUUGGCAAAUUGUAUUGCAUGAAAACUAUUCUUCAAUAAAAUUGACUUUUAAAAGGCAGUCUUCCCUGUUAUCAGUGGGGACUUUCUUUUUCUAAAAGUUUAUGGAAGGGUCUGUUUACAUUCAUAAGUAUGAAAGAUCACACUAACAGAUAUAAAGAUGCUGGCUGCCCCUUAUUUCUAUUGACUAUUUCUAGAAUGCUUUCACAAGGCUAAUAUUUUAAACCAACACUUAAGAUUGGGCUUAGCACAAUGGAUGGCCUUACCAAGUAAAGACACAUUUAUUACUAAUGUACUUAUUGAUCUCUCCUGGUUGUUUAUUUUCCAGAGUCCCAUAAAACCAUUGGUAUGGCAAAAGACUAUGUUGCUGAAGACACGGCAGAAAUAUUCAACACAAAUAUAUUCCACUGCCUAAAAUCUCCUGUUCCCCUGUGUAUCUUCCCAUCUGUGUCACCAUGCAAACAACCUUUUCAACCUGCUCUGCAAAGAGGAAUGACCUGGUAUUCUGCUGCCAAAUUCAUCUCCAAAAACAGAAAUAUGGGUUGCAUUUUUGGAAGCAAACAGUAAUUCUCCUAAUGCUGAUGAAUCACAAUACAACACAGCCCAGCAGGGUCCUGAAGCUUGCCCAGGCAGCCAUGUUCCCACCCCAGUCCCUGAAAGCUGAUACAUCUAUAACUUCUAGUUUACCAAACCAUGUAUUGAAGCUUCUCAAGCUGGAAACUACAUACCUCUAGCAGUGUCCUGCAUCUUACCAGGGAGCACAUUAAGCCACAAAAUAACAUGGUCUAUAUUUUCUGGAGCAUCAAUUUUAUAUGGAUGUUUAGCAAGGAUAAAUGUUUUUAUGUUAAAAAUAGUCAUUCUGAUUAUGGAAGAGAAAGCAAUAUUCAUAUGACUGGUUAAGAUUUUAAAAAGACACUUCGAAGACAUUUCCUACCUGCUAUAGCUGCUUCAGAUUAAACCCCAAAAAUCUUCAAACCCUCUAGGGUACAUAAUCCCUUUUCUAUGUUAAGGGUACAUUCCAGAAAAACAAAAGGCUGCCAAAAAAAAAAAAAACAGAAUUAUUAUUGAAACCAUUAAACUGAUGAGAAUCAGAAAACCCACAUUUUGGCAUGUUCCCAGUCUCCCACCAACUGGUUCUAACCCAGGGGUUCUGCAGAAGUCACAUGCUAGACCCAACAACCACAGAUUUAGCCCUGAUUUAACCAUAUAUCUAUGAUACCACUUCAGAAGAACUGCCAUAGUUUUUACAUCUAUAAAAUAGAGAUGACAACAAUACAUAGUUUAUAAAGUACUGUGUACUUAAAUCACCUGGCCAAAAUGAGUGAUAAGUAAAUGCUGGCUGCCUAUCAUCAUUGCUGUUGUUUUAUUAUUGUUUUAAUCUCUAUAUAGCAUAGCAUAACAUCUUAAAAUUUACAGCAAUCCAUUCAGUAAUAGAUUAUUGACUAUUCACUCCCAAAUGCAGAGGGAAGUAAUGAGAAUUCUGGACAUGUAAUCUGAAUGCUCAGCCUUUCAAGAAUCCUUAUUGAGACUGGUAUACUCCCUGGGUAUCAAGUGACAUCUACGAAAGAAAUAAGGGCUUUUUCUGGCUGAGCUUCAAAAAGUGACCCAAAGCAAGCUCUGGUCUUCGGUUAUGCAGUACAGAUGUGUUUAAGAAGUAACUCAGUCCUUCUUAACAAACAGAAGAUCAAUUUGUACCUGCAAGUGUCCAGGUAUAUAUUCAUACACAACAGGAAUAUCUAUGACUAAGAGCCUGCCAUCGACACAAGGAGGUCCCAUCAUCCUGAGUAGGAACUCCCAGAAGGCCACCACUGAUCAGAAGUUUGCCUUGCAAUGACAGAAUGACAGCCAAGACAGUAGCAUGUUUUCAAGGGAUGUUUCUAACAAUGUCAAACUGAUGAGUUAUUCUCCUAUAUUCCAGGGAUAUUUCUACUUAAAUAAUUUGGGGAAUCUUCCCUGACAAAACACUGGAGAAUUCUUAUUACAUGUCACCUAAAUUUCCUCAAGCCUCAUCAAUACUUCUUUCCCCAGAGCCUUACCCCAACAUGACAUAAGACCUCAAGCUUCCAGAUUUCUCAUCCAGUUACUUCUUGGAAUUCCCGGAAAUAAAAUACAUAAGUUGAUAAAUAAUCCUUCCCAGUAUAGUUCCUCCUUUUUGAUGUGUUUUACCUGAGCAAUACCUCGAGAGCACUGCUAUCCCUGCAAAGGGCACAGUCUCUAAGAGCCCUUAAGACCAACGACACAGAAGGUGUACUAUAAUAUUGCUGUGUGUGAUAGAGUUAGUGGUCCAUCAGAUUCAUAUUCUCCUUUCCUAGACAAGAAGUGUUGCUAAGCAGUUGUCAAAACAUGGACUUCAUUCUCUAUCCCCAUUUGCAUCUAGGUAGGACCAUGUGACUAAUCCUAACUAGUGAAGUAAAAGUAAUGUACGCCCUUUCCAGUUUGAAUGGCUAAAAGAAGUGGGUAUGCAUUCUCCAUGCUGUUUCUUUCUCUAUUUGCCAGUGGAUACAUGUUAAAACUAGCAAACUCUCUGAGUCCCUGAAUGACUCUGGGAAGCAGAGAUUUGGGGAUUUGUCUCUUACAGCAGCCACCAACACCUUAACUAUGAUACUAUGUUCACCACUGCAGUGUAGAAGACCCUGUGAUGCUGGGGCCCCAAAGCAAUAUGGACUGUGCUCACAAGUCUUGCCAAAGACCCCAUGAAAACAGGUGGCUUCUUUGGUUUACUCUAAAAGAAACAAAUAGGCAGUGCCAGUGUUGGGAACAAGCCAAAGGAUACAGAUGAGAGCCAAGCCCUCCUUUGUGUCCCUUGUUUUCUCACAAAGGUCUGGCCAGAAUUUCAUGGUCAUGGACUCCCCUAUGAAGUAAGACAUCCACCAGAACAAGGGGUCUCUGGACUAUGGUCUCACUACUACCUCCAACAACCUUAGAAUCCAGGAACUUAAACCACCAUAAAAGGCAAAACUUGGACUAUUAAGCAAGUCAUAUCAUCCUGGGCAAAGUUCAGGUUCCAUGCUCUAAAUCACUGCUGUGCCAGGAGCCAUCUCCCCCUACUUGUGUCUAACUACAGAGCCCAGAAGUUUUCCAUUUCUUUCAGUGAGAUGGAAAUGCCAUGCCAUGACCUGCCACAAUCUGCCCCCCUAGGACCACAGCAACACAUACUGACCUCUUUAUUACCUUGGCCAGAUUCACCUUACAAAUGGGUUAGCAUCUGCAGAUGAGAGAGAAAGUGGAGAGGUAGUGACAUAAGUGAAACUUGAGAUAACAAAGAGUCAUCAGAGAAGUUAAGCAAGAGGAUUCUAAGACACAAUCAUAUCUGUGAUUCAGGAGAAAGUCAUGUGGGGAAAAUGUAAAGGCAGGGACUCUAUCACAGCCAAUCAGGAGAGAUGACCACGUGGCAUCCAGUCCCCAAACUGUCCUUACUCGCAACUGCCUCAGCUCCUCCUGCAUAUACUUAUGGUUUGCUGGGAUGUAUGGGAUCUAAGAUCCCUUUACUCUGACUGCAUCAUCUGUCCUCAUUCUGCAUCCUUCCAUGAAAAAUAUGUAGGCUCUGUCCACUCACUAAAUGGGAGUUUUGUGUCCUUCUUCAAACGCACUUUAACAGAGGAGUAAUCCCUUCCUGUUAGAUAAAGUCACCUCUUCACUGUCCUGCUACCAGCCUUCUGAUUCCCCUUCUGGUUCUCCUGAGUGGUCCCUUGCCCACCACCAUCCAUCCCCAAUUAAUGACCAAUCAGAAUUGUCAGAGCCGUCAACAACCUUUCUCCCCAAUUCCCUCCACCUUGGGCUAAAACCCCAAAUCCUACUGAUUCUAUUUCCUGAAUAUGUCUCAAGGUCUUCAACUGUCAUUCUUCUACACUGAUGCCACCUAAUCCAAGCCAGUAGCAACCUUCUCAGAAGGACUAAAUACCCCCCCCCCAAUCCUGGAGGUGCCAUAUCUGUUCUUGUUCCCUCCAACCUAGUUUCCAUACUGCAACCAAAAUUAUCUUUUGAACACUUA
rnacentral:lncRNA from 1 species